AAUUUUGACAGAACCCUUCGGGGUGAAGACAAAAUGGAUUAGCGGCGGACGGGUGAGUAACACGUGAGUAACCUGCCUUAGACAUUGGGAUAGCCUUGGGAAACCGGGAUUAAUACCAAAUAAAAUCAUAGGUGCACAUGCACUAAUGAUCAAAACUCCGGUGGUCUAAGAUGGACUCGCGUCCCAUUAGCUAGUUGGUAGGGUAACGGCCUACCAAGGCGACGAUGGGUAGCCGGCCUGAGAGGGUGAACGGCCACAUUGGAACUGAGAAACGGUCCAAACUCCUACGGGAGGCAGCAGUGGGGAAUAUUGCACAAUGGAGGGAACUCUGAUGCAGCGACGCCGCGUGAACGAAGAAGGCUUUCGAGUCGUAAAGUUCUUUUAUAUGGGAAGAUAAUGACGGUACC
rnacentral:rRNA from 1 species